rnacentral:lncRNA from 1 species
GGGCUCCCGAGUGCCUUGGGGAAUGCAGAUUCCUGGGCCUAACUCUGUGGGUCAGGAUGUGGAGGCUGAAGCCCACAGGGCUGAGCCAAGAGGGACGUGGCUGCUCCCCCACAUCGCAGAUGGGAAAACUGAGGCUCCCACCCAGGAGACGGUGCGUGCUCCGUCCAUCCUGGGGCCCCUGCCGCAGUGACCAAAGCAGCCGGGUUUUCUGGGGUCUGCAGACUACGGUGUCAUCCCGGAGAGAGUCCAGGGUCUUUAUUUAUUCUCCUCAUUUAGCCGUGGGUUGAGCUAUUGCGCUGGGGCUGGAGCCGAGCGGGCAGAAACGCUCGGUAUCUCAGGCUUAAUUAUAGCCAAAGGAGCUGGGAGAAAUGAGCCUUGAGCCGCUGGUGGCUCCGACGCAGGAAGACAGCCUUUCCUCUUUCUUUUUAAGAAAUGCAUAUAUGAUGCCUCCCUGAUUAAGCAAUUUCGACUCCGCUGGACAGUGGUCUUCGGGGCAGGAGUGCCUGCCCUUGGCCCAGCACCUCUGGAGCCCCUCCUCCCCCAGGAGGCUCCGGGUUGUCCUGUGCUCCCCUGGGUGCCAGGCCGCUGGGCGUGGCUGCAUCUACUCCUGUAGGAAGGGCUGCACCAUGGGGGUGGGGAUCCAGGUUCAGAAGACCCCCGUGUACCUAGCCCGCUGCUGGUGGUCUCCGGUAGGGACGGCUCCUGAUGGUGCAGGUGAAACAGAGGGGCAGCCGGACCCUCCGGCAGUGGGUCACGCCCUCUGGGGGUUCAAGGGUGGGCCCCCAGCCUGCCAGGCUGCAGUUUCCUGCCUCACAGGUGCAAAGCCCCUUGUCUACUGGAAGGUCCCCCCUGCUGAAGCUGUCCAGCAGCAAAGGACAGAACCAGAAUCCAGGUCGUCCAGCCCAGCCCUCGGUCCUGCACCAGGACAGCCUUCAGUCAGCUGGAGUCUUGGAGGAGCAUGGCUGUCCAGUGGGAACGGAAGUGUAGGCCCGCGGGCCACUUUGAAACAGUGAGGGCUGGUUAUCCUCGGCCACAGGGCUCCGCCAGCCGCAGAUCGCCCAGGGGAGCGGCCGCAGGAGUACGCAGCCAGCCGGAUGCUGAUGGCCCCAACUGGUGUGUCGGCGAAAUGGGGAGACCGCCAGCCUCGGAGCGCUCUUAUGGGAAUUCAAAUCGGGGACAGGGUGAAUGCACUGGGAAACUGUGGAGCCCCCUGGGGACACAAGGGAUGGUUUUCGUGAUGUAACUCCGUCCUCACAAUACUGUAAAGGAAGCACGCGUGAGAAACUGAGGCACGCGGAAUGAGGCGGCUGGCCCAAGGCCACCCAGAGGGGAGACGUUGCAGCUCAGCUUCGGGUGGUCCAGCCGGGUGGCAUCUCAACUUACACAGUUUCGGGGGGGCGGUCCCUCGAAAUCAGGUCAAAAUCAGGUCAAGGGCAAAUAAUAUUCAGAAGAAGAGAAAUCUCAAUGAAUGUUCCACUUUAAAAGUCUGACAAAUAUCACAGAUGUCAGCGGGGCCGGGUCCCUCCUGCUGGGACAAUCCUGCCCUGGCCAUGAGUUAAACCCAGAUGUCUGACUCCUUCUCCAGUGCUCUUUCUGCCAAAGCAGCUCCCCGCAAGGCACCUGGUUUCCUGUGAAUGAGUUUCUUUGCCACUGGAAUGAACCAAAGGUUCAGAUCAAGAUUUCGAAAUGGUUUUGCCCUGCCUGCCUCCACAGCACCCCUUCCCAGAGCGGGGAGCCGGGAGCUGGCACAGAUGCUCUUUCUUGGAGGCGGGGUGGGCGGAAUUGGGGGACUAGGCAGCUUCAGAGUUCUGUGCCCGUCUCCAUAUUCGCUCUGCUCACUGUCAAGAAACUCCCGCCCUCCCCGGAUCCUGAAGACGCGGCUCCCCAGUCAGAGAAGAGCUGGAUGGAGUUUUGCCACCUGGACAGGAAAGUCAGUCAGAGGGAACAGCCUUGAAUGCCCGCGUCCAAAAAGGCAAAUGGGGCUGGGAAAGAGGACAGCGCCCUAAAUUCUUU